rnacentral:lncRNA from 1 species
GCUGGGGGCGGGACCUGUGGCGUCACGAAGCUUCCCCAGAACCGCGAGGGAUGCGGGGGAGGUGUACCAGGAACUUGGUGCGCGCCUGGGCGGGACGCGGUGCCCGCCUGUCUCCACUGGAACCCCGGACUCCGACCCAGGUCGGGUCGGCUUGACGGCGUGGUGGAGCGCCGCAGCCCUUCUAAUAAAAGUCUAAAGCUGUUUGGCCUCAGGCCUCUAGACUACUCUCCGGAAAAUGGGUGCAGCCAAGGGCGCAGGGAGAGACUUUGCGGGGAGCAGGGGCUAGGCCCUCCAUGCAACUAAACUAGCUGCCCAACGAUGGUCCCCUGCACAGCCCGCGAACGCCCAUCCGCAGCCCGCGCUGUGUCCAGCGAUUCACUCUGGCUGUCCCGUCGUCGUCCCGCAAGGCUUCUGAUCAUCCUUUGAAACGCAAGGCUUCUGAUCAUCCUUUGAGACGUGGUCCUGUCACCAAUCUGAAAUCACUCUGCCAAGCCACGUCUUCGGUCUUUGGCUACUAGCUCCCAAGGGGCGCCCACCCUGAGUGUGUAUGGAGCAGGUCUUGGGCGGUGGGGGCGGGGGCAGGUCUGGGCGGGGUUGGCAAUACUUCCGCUGAAUGUAUCCUUUAAAAAAAAAAAAAAAAAGAUUGAGCAGCAAGGGGGAAGGCAAUCGGUGCUUGUGUCUGCGCCAGGCCCCUCUGUGACCUAAGAUAUCUUAUUUUACUUUUCAG